rnacentral:rRNA from 1 species
GCGAAAGUGACUGUACCUGCAGAAGAAGCACCGGCUAACUACGUGCCAGCAGCCGCGGUAAUACGUAGGGUGCAAGCGUUGUCCGGAUUUAUUGGGCGUAAAAGAGCUCGUAGGCGGUUUGUCGCGUCGGAUGUGAAAACCCAAUGGCUUAACCUUGGGCCUGCAUUCGAUACGGGCAAACUAGAGUGUGGUAGGGGAGACUGGAACUCCUGGUGUAGCGGUGGAAUGCGCAGAUAUCAGGAAGAACACCGAUGGCGAAGGCAGGUCUCUGGGCCAUAACUGACGCUGAGGAGCGAAAGCGUGGGGAGCGAACAGGAUUAGAUACCCUGGUAGUCCACGCCGUAAACGGUGGGCGCUAGGUGUGGGGAUUGUUUCCACGAUCUCCGUGCCGUAGCUAACGCAUUAAGCGCCCCGCCUGGGGAGUACGGCCGCAAGGCUAAAACUCAAAGGAAUUGACGGGGGCCCGCACAAGCGGCGGAGCAUGCGGCUUAAUUCGAUGCAACGCGAAGAACCUUACCUGGGCUUGAC